UAUUCUUAGAAAUCUUGUCUCAUGCUACCCUAGUACUGGCAGAUUCAGAUCAUUUAAACAUUCAAUAUUAAUAUCACCACAAACUCAAGAUAAGCAGAUGAUCCUGAAAAAGCUUUGACUGUGCGUAUGGCACCUCAGACAUGAGGGCUGCAGGGUAAGGAGUAUGUUUGUUUCUCUUUAGUUUCACGAGGUCCCCUUUUGGGGUAUUCGACUUUCCAUCGAUGGCAGGUGGUCAGGCAUUAUUAUGGCCAUCAAAACACCCACUUGUUGAUAUUUAUUUAUUUUCAACAAGUAUCUUUGUUCUCUAAGAAUGGAGUUUCAAAAAGGGUUGUCAAGAUCAACAGAUGUUACUUCACAUGAUGCAGAGGCAGGCUUGAUUCUGGAAUGAUGAAUCCACGGGGUGAUCUCUGUAACUUUCACAGUGCACUACUCAGCAUGUGGUCUUGGUUAUCACUUUGGUGGCUGGAUAGGCCUCUGGCCAUCCUGAAAACAUUGUCUGCUAUAAUUAGUGCAUAGUUGAAUCAGCCAUUCUUUGGCAUUCUGGAUGUAGUCGACUUGACUCCUCUGGAAGAGAUAAUGAGGUUUGGCUAGAUGCUUGGGGCUUUCCUCCAUUCUUCCUGAGUUGCCCUUGGCACAAAUGGCACAAGAUUUACAGUAACUGUUGGUCAGAGAGGCAAUUCCUGAUACCUCAGAGUAUUUAUUGAUCAAAAGAGUUCAUGAGGGUUCUGGACAGAUGCUCCGUAGGCCCACUGGACCACUGCUGAGUAUAUGUUCUUGGGCAAGUAGAACUUGAGAUUGUUGAAGUACAGCCUGUCUUUAAGAGUUGCCCCUUUCUGUUUCCAGCUUGUGGUUUGUUUGUUUUUUCUUUCUUUCCAGGGUCAGUAGCUUGCUCGUUAUUCCUUCGGGAGCUUGAUGUCUGUGGGUAGGAUCUUACAUGGUGAAUAUGGGAGUUUCUUCAGCAGACACUUUUCUGUCCACUUCCCUUAGUGCACUUACAACUUCUUGAACAACUUAGUCAGCCAGAGAGCUGCCACAUGCUUCCUCUGAGUUCAGUCUUCCUUCAGAGAUCUUGCAUGGUGUGAUGGGAGCCUAUAGCUCAGCUUCUUGUGCAGACAUUGUUGAGGUGAGAUACUUGGUCCACUGUAGUGACAGCAAAUCCGGAACAGAUCAUAAGAAAAAGGCUAAAAAAAAAUAAUAGUCAGUGUCUUAUCAUUUCCCCCCUUGGGAAGUGGCAGAAGAGUGGCCAGGUAAAUAGAGUAUCAUCCCUGCAGGGUGACAUUAUCCUGCACAGAAUUCGUCCAUAACAAGGAGAGGUGGGAUAUUGCAUGGAAAGUCUCAGGUAACCGGGGCACCAUUCGACACCAGAGCCUUAACCUGUUAGGGAAUAGUAAGAGCUUGGACAGGCUUUGGGGCCUGUAUAAUUCAGGUAAAGGUAUUGGGGGAACUAGCUAGGACCCUUGCCUCUUGGUCAGGUUUCACUGUGUGGAACAAAAUAAAUAAUAAGGUGAUAGGGGCCUGCAAGUGGGGGAAGAACAUCUACACCUAGCAGAUUAAUUGGACAGGUGAAGGUAACCACAAAGCAAGGCUUAGUUAACAGGCUACUCCAAGGAGAGCCAUCUACACUUUUGCAGGAGACAACAAUG
rnacentral:lncRNA from 1 species